rnacentral:lncRNA from 1 species
GGUAUGACAGGCCUGUGAGAGUCUCCUUUGGGAUUUCUUUAAGAACUUUUGUAAGGGAUGAGAGGUGAGUGCUUCUUGUUGAGAGAGAGGGUUUAUAUAUAAGAGUUGAGAGUGUAUAAUCUUCUCUUGUAUUUAUUUUCUUUCUCAUUGUAAAAUCUUGUAUAUCCCGUGGAGCUAAGCCUUGGGCUGAUCUAUGUAUUUGAUUGUGUUUUUUUUAUUUUUUUCUUUCUUUCUACUGUA